GCCAUGUCUUCGAGCGCCGCCAACUCCACCCUUUCUGGCCAGAUCACCGAGCGCCUCACCCGAACCAACUACGUCCUAUGGCGUACCCAGAUCACACCACAGCUUCGGGGGGCAGGGUUCUUCGGCUACGUGGACGGCAGCAUGCUAGAGCCAACCAAGGUCAUCGUCAACAAAGACAAGGAUGGCAAGGAGGAGACCAUCCCCAACCCGCUUCACUCGGUUUGGAUCCGAGAUGAUCAGCAGGUGCUUGGUUACCUUCUGAAUAACCUCUCGAAAGAAGUGCUUGUGCAGGUGACCUCGAUCGCCCACGCACAGGAACUCUGGGUAGCGUUGGCGAGCAUGUUCUUG
rnacentral:rRNA from 1 species